rnacentral:rRNA from 4 species
AGUAGGGAAUCUUCCGCAAUGGACGAAAGUCUGACGGAGCAACGCCGCGUGAGCGAUGAAGGCCUUCGGGUCGUAAAGCUCUGUUGUUAGGGAAGAACAAGUAUCGGAGUAACUGCCGGUACCUUGACGGUACCUAACCAGAAAGCCACGGCUAACUACGUGCCAGCAGCCGCGGUAAUACGUAGGUGGCAAGCGUUGUCCGGAAUUAUUGGGCGUAAAGCGCGCGCAGGCGGUCCUUUAAGUCUGAUGUGAAAGCCCACGGCUCAACCGUGGAGGGUCAUUGGAAACUGGGGGACUUGAGUGCAGAAGAGGAAAGCGGAAUUCCACGUGUAGCGGUGAAAUGCGUAGAGAUGUGGAGGAACACCAGUGGCGAAGGCGGCUUUCUGGUCUGUAACUGACGCUGAGGCGCGAAAGCGUGGGGAGCAAACAGGAUUAGAUACCCUGGUAGUCCACGCCGUAAACGAUGAGUGCUAAGUGUUAGAGGGUUUCCGCCCUUUAGUGCUGCAGCUAACGCAUUAAGCACUCCGCCUGGGGAGUACGGCCGCAAGGCUGAAACUCAAAG